UGCCUGAAAGAUGAUGGCCUGCAUGGU
rnacentral:piRNA from 1 species